rnacentral:lncRNA from 1 species
ACCCCGCGGAUGAUGGAGGUGAACGUGCAUAUCCUGCCAGUGGUGGAGGUGAAUGUGCAAAUCCUGCAGGUGAUGGAGGUUGAUGUGCAAAUCCCACAGGAGAUGGAGGUGAAUGCACAUAUCCUGCUGGUGGUGGAGGUGAAUGUGCAAAUCCUGCAGGUGAUGGAGGUUGAUGUGCAAAUCCCACAUGAGAUGUAGGCCGAUGUGUAAAUCCAGUAGAUGACUGUAUAUUUGCAGUUGGUGAUGGAGGUUGAUGUGCAAAUCCUCCAGGAGAUGGAGGUCGAUGCGUAAAUCCAGUAGAUGACUGUGUAAAUGCAGUUGGUGAUGGUGUAGGGCGUGAAAAUUCCGCAGGCGGUGAUGGCGCUGCACGUGGAAAUGCCGUGGCUGAUGGUGGUGGAUGUGGAAAAGACCCUUGCCUUGCUUGAUGUGGUCUCCCAAAUAGUCUCUCAAUCUCAUCAAUCCUCCCUUCUUUAUCAAAAGCUUCAUCUACAGAACUGCGGAGUGCAGGAGUAACACCAAUUCUAUUCCUUAUCAUCUGACCCAAUAAACCUUUAGCUUGAUCAAGUCUGCCUUCUUUGCACAAUUUUGAAAUUACAAGCUCAUAUGUUGUUGGGUCUGGUUUCACUUCCCCAUCUCCCAUAAGAUCAAGAAUUCCAGUGGCCUCUUCAAUUUUACCAUUAUUAAGCAGUUCACCAAAAACCAUAUUAAAGAAACGGGGGUUAGCUUUUAUUUUAGAUUCAAAUACGAAUUUCUUAAAUAAUCUCAAAGCAUCGUCUACCCUUUCUCCUUUAAAGUAAGCUUCAAUAAUAAAUCGAUAAGUGUUGUAAUCCAAUAUUACUGACUUCAUUUGCAUUUCUUCAAACAGCUUCUCUGCCUCCUCUAUUACACCAUUUUCACAAAGUUUCCCAAUCAGGUUAUUGUAACCCGCCAUAUCCAUAUGGAAUGGCUUUGAACCUGGUUCUGUUCCAAUCUGCCUAAACACUGCAAUUGCCUCUGAAACCUUUCCCAAUCGAAAACAUUCAUUCACCAUUAUGUUAUAGGUAUCACUAUUCACAGCCUGGAAAGUGGGUGUUUUGUGUCUAUUCAACAUACUUAAAAAGAGAGUAUUGGCCUCUUUACUCUUCCCAUGCCUGAGCAAUACCUCCAACAAUACAUUACCCGUAGGUGGAAUCAUUUUAUAAUUGCGCUCAAGGUAAUCAUAAUAUGAUUCCAUGGCUUCCUUUUCCAUUCCUUUCUUGAAGUACCAAUCCAUGAAUGUGGCAUUGACAACACCAUCAUAAACUGUACAACGUUCACGAAGCUCAUCAAACAACUCAUUAGCGCGCUCAAGGUUACCAAGAUUAAGAAACCCCAAAAUAAGAUUGUUAUAAACAUGUGAAUCAGCACCAUGACCCUUACUAAGCAUUUCACGAAGUAGAUCAAUACCCUCAGAGAUUCGACCAGCAUCAACUAGACCUUUAGUGAGAUGUUUGUAAGUGAUAUGAGAAGGGCUGAAAGGGGCAUUUUCAAGGAGAUGUUGAUAGACAUCUAAGGCAAUAUCCAUUCGACCAGUGUCGCAGUAGGUAUUAAUUAAAUUAUUGUAAGAAACAAUAUUAGGAACAAUAUUGGAUUGAUUAAAGAAAUACUGGAACAACUGAAUGGCUUCAUCAUAGCGACCGGCACGAUACAUCGAAGCAAUGAUAGCAUUACAAGUGAAGACAGUAGGGCGGCAAUUAGAGAAAACAGCUUGACGAGCAGUGAUAGAAGCAGAAUCAAGAUCACCACCACGAAUCAGAGAUUGAACACGGUUAUGGAGGUUAAGACGAGGACCUACAAGGGCUGAAGUAGAGUCUGGAAGACGAGGAGCAUUUGGGUCUGGACGUGGACGAGGAGCGUUAGGUUCACGACGGAGAGCGUGAAGUGGAGGUUCAAUACGAAGCCGUCUCUUACGGCGUCGACGCUCAAUUGCAGCUUCUUCUGCCGAUGAAUAAGCGAAAGACCGGAUGAAAGUGGUGGUGGUGGUGGAGGCAUUUAUGAUAUUGGUUAGGGCAUUAGUAGUGGCGGCAGCGGUGGUGGUGGUGGAGGAAGUUGAUCUACGAAGGGAUUGAAGAAGAAUACGGUGGUAGGUCAUGGUUGUGGUGAGAAAUGAAAUGAAACCUUCGAGAUCGAACUUUGGAGUUUUAACAGAAGCGAUUGAAUCUGAAAUUAGGGCUUAAGAAGGGUUUGGUGUUUUUUUUUACCUUUUUCUUCUUUACUGAUUGGAAUGGGAAAAAGUAAUGGAUCGUAUUGAGUUCACUGUGACUGAGCCAACGAGGGUAGGCAAAUUUAUAGGCUUACAGCUGAAUGAUACGAGUUGUAGGCUAUCAAUGAUCUAUGUCACCAAAUAAAGGAUCUAACCGUAAUUUUACCCUGGGGAUACAAAUAAUGAUUAAGGUAUAAUCACUAUAAUUUGAGACACUAAACAAUCUUAUUAUUCCAAACAGCAGCACCAAUGAUAAAACAUCCAUCAUCUUGUAUUAAGAUUGCUUGAAAACAACCUACUCACAUCCAUUCCCACCAGCUGAUACAGCAAUGUCAGAGAUGAGGAGUCCCCUAAUCCAAAAUUUGCUUAAAUAAAAGGCAAGACAUUGACUCUUACACCCAUUUGACACCUGAUAGAAAAACGAUGUACAGAGGAGCCAAACACUACAUUCAUAGCUGUUGCUGAAAUUAUGUUGAGGAGACCACAGAUGAAAACACUCCACAACAUAACACUCUGCCCAAAUGUUAUCUGAUGGUUUACUAUUGAUAGAUCUCACAACACGAACAAAGACUAUCACAGCAUCAAUAAGCUCACAAAUCCAACGCAUAAUGUUUAUUUUGUACCAUGCCUGCAUCGAAUACUUUUUCAUAAACAAUCCGUUCAUCUUACUUGAAUUGGUGGGAAGAUGUAUUUUGCUACCUAUUAUGCAGUGAAAGAUGAAGUGGAGGUUCUCCAAUUCGCUAGCUACUGCAUCACACUUGCACAAUGCGUACAAAAGGGAUUUUCUCGUCCUCUCUGCAUAUUUGUAGUGAUAAGUCCUGGUUACAACAAGAUAACAAGUGACAAUUUCCACAAUCAAAGAUGCUCAACCAGUAGGUUGACCCUUAGAAUAAGCUAUACAGGUCUGCAUCCUCACUGUGCUGUUUGUUUUUUGUCUAGUAGCUACUAGCUAUAAGCUUGGGGAUGGAGCUUAUAGUAACCGCCAUCUUGUUAGCCAAUUUCUACUAGAAAAGCUUAUAAGACCUUAACUAGAAGUAAAAACAAACAUACAUUUGGGUUUUCUAAUAGCUUAUAAGCUAUCAGAACUAGUAUAACUGAAAAAACAAACAGCACCUUAACUCUGACACUGAGCCAAUUUUAGACCAAGAAAAUUAAACUACCUUAAUGUCUAAAACACUAUGUAUCUGUCCCAUGCUUGCACCCAAUAUGCAUGGCUGGUGGAAUCCCAGCGGCACAAAAAUGUUGAGGAGAAAGAUCUGUUCAAUGCCUUCAAAUUGAAAUCAUAAGUCACAUUGUUAUUAAUUUCACAAACCCGGUUGCCUAAAAUACACUUAAUCAUCAUAAACAAAGACAUGUGUACCACGCUUCAUAAACUCAUGGAGAAUGGGGAUUGAUAAAAUCAUGUGUAGCUCAGAUACUUUAUUUUUGUUUCGAGAAAAAAAAAAAUAUAUCAAAGGAAGAGACAAUGCUUGCAUCAAGGCUACUAAUGACAUACAAUGCUAAAGUGACAGCACCAGGCCGGUUUCAUACCAGUGGAUAAGAGGAAACAAUCUGAAGAUGAUGAGAUUUCAACAAAGUUUACUUAUUUCAACAAAUACCAACAAACAAACUUGUAAAUUCAUAACUGAGAGUGUGAGCCAAAUGUUGAGCAUGGACGACAAACUCCAACGUACCCAGCAAAGCCAUGAAACAGUAAGAACUAUAUUAAUGGACACAAAAGGAAGCACACAUCAAUGUUCACAAUAACCACUUACUUACCACAGCAGAAAGGGUUUCAAUACAUCAAUACUUGUCAUCCAAUAACUGUUGCAGCAGAUAUUUCACUAACUAUGAAAAAUCUAGACAGAAAAUCGAAGACUAGAGCCCUGUACUGACAAUGAGAAUCACCAACACUUUUUUUUUUUUUUCAGAAACAAAACUAAGUUCAUAAUUAAUUCAACCAUGAAUAAAUUACAAUGCACGCUCAAGUAAGGUUCUAAGAGGUUGUUACCUGUCAUGGCACUCGAUCCAAGGAGGUAAUGCAUGUGUAGAUGUACAUGGAUGGGCAUAUCCUCCGGAUGAUGGACGUAGAUUUUGCAAACUCCGCAGGUGAUGGCGGUGGAUGUGCAAAUCUCACAGAUGAUCAUGUGCUUUAAUCCCAUGAGCUACCACAUCUCCUCAACAAAAAGUAAACCUUUAACCCUUGUUAAUUAUAUAUUACAUCGUCGUAUUUACUUAAUUUUCGUAGGGAUGAACAGAAUCGACAGAUGAAUAUAAUAAAACGAGUAGAAGGACUAGAGGCUAUCAAUGCAAUUUUAUACCUAAUUGUUGCUACUGCGAUAUACACCAAAAUAAAAGAAAGAAGAAAGAAAAAUGUUGUCUGUAUACAUACUAUUAGGAUUCUGCUUAAAGAAUUCAAUCAAAAUGCAAUACAAUUUCGAAAGAAACAAGUGCUUCCACAACUCAACCGCCUGGUCAAAUCUGCCCAAUUUCGCUUCCCAAUUGAUCUCAACCUCUAAAUUUUUUUUUCCUUUUUAUAUUCAGUAAUAACUCAACACUUCGAUUCAUGUGCAAAUGCUGAAUGUGAGGGUGCUGGUGGCACUAAUGCCGUUGGUGAUGGUUUUCAAAAUGGGUGUGAUGAUGGGGCAGCAUGUCCAAACCCUGCAAAUGGAGGUUGAUGUGCGAACCUGCAGGUGAAGGAGGUGAAUGUGCAUCACCUUCAGGUUGAUGUGCAAAUUCUGCAGGUGAUGGAGGUUGAUGUGCAAAUCCUCCAGGAGAUGGAGGUCGAUGCGUAAAUCCAGUAGAUGACUGUGUAAAUGCAGUUGGUGAUGGUGUAGGGCGUGAA